CUCCUGCUCAGUGAAAAUAAACAGCCGCAGAAUUUUAUACUGUGCUAAGGUAGCAUAAUCACUUGUCUUUUAAUUAAAGAAUAGAAUGAACGGAAAAACGAAUUUUAGUCUGUUUCAUUUAUUUACAAUAAAAUUACCAAAAAGUAAAAACACUUUUUUUAAAAAAAAAGACGAUAAGACCCUAAAGAACUUAACUAAAGUUAAGCUGGGGCGGCUUUUUAAAAAAAUCUUAAUUAAUAUUUUUUACACCUUUUUAAAUUUUUCAAUGUUACCUUAGGGAUAACAGCAUAAUCUAAUUUUAUAGCUCUUAUUCAAAAUUAAGAUUAUGACCUCGAUGUUGAAUUAAAAUUCUUCUAACCGAAAAAAAUUAGUAAGAAAGUCUGUUCGACUAUUAAAUAUUUACAUGAUUUGAGUUCAGACCGGUGAAAACCAGGUCGGUUUCUAUCUUUUUUAAAUUUCUAUCAGUACGAAAGGACCAUAAAAUAUAUUAACAAU
rnacentral:rRNA from 1 species